GCAUUAUACGGCGAAACUGCGAAUGGCUCAUUAAAUCAGUUAUCGUUUAUUUGAUAGUACCUUACUACUUGGAUAACCGUGGUAAUUCUAGAGCUAAUACAUGCUAAAAACCCCGACUCACGAAGGGGUGUAUUUAUUAGAUUAAAAACCAACGCCCUCCGGGGCUCACUGGUGAUUCAUGAUAACUUCUCGGAUCGCACGGCCUUGCGCCGGCGACGGUUCAUUCAAAUUUCUGCCCUAUCAACUUUCGACGGCUGGGUAUUGGCCAGCCGUGGUGACAACGGGUAACGGAGGGUUAGGGCUCGACCCCGGAGAAAACGCCUGAGAAACGGCGUUUACAUCCAAGGAAGGCAGCAGGCGCGCAAAUUACCCAAUGCCGACUCGGCGAGGUAGUGACGAUAAAUACUGGUACGGGGCUCUUUCGGGUCUCGUAACUGGAAUGAGUACAAUUUAAAUCCCUUAACGAGGAACAAUUGGAGGGCAAGUCUGGUGCCAGCAGCCGCGGUAAUUCCAGCUCCAAUAGCGUAUAUUAAAGUUGUUGAAGUUAAAAAGCUCGUAGUUGAACCUUGGGCCUGGCUGGCCGGUCCGCCUCACCGCGUGCACUGGUCCGGCCGGGCCUUUCCCUCCGGGGAGCCGCAUGCCCUUCACUGGGCGUGUCGGGGAACCGGGACUUUUACUUUGAAAAAAUUAGAGUGUUCAAAGCAGGCCUAUGCUCGGAUACAUUAGCAUGGAAUAAUAGAAUAGGACGCGCGGUUCUAUUUUGUUGGUUUCUAGGACCGCCGUAAUGAUUAAUAGGGACAGUCGGGGGCGUCAGUAUUCAAUUGUCAGAGGUGAAAUUCUUGGAUUUAUUGAAGACUAACUACUGCGAAAGCAUUCGCCAAGGAUGUUUUCAUUAAUCAGGAACGAAAGUUAGGGGAUCGAAGACGAUCAGAUACCGUCGUAGUCUUAACCGUAAACUAUGCCGACUAGGGAUCGGGCGGUGUUAUCUUUUGACCCGCUCGGCACC
rnacentral:rRNA from 1 species